rnacentral:misc_RNA from 1 species
UUCCGACUCAACUUAUUCCUAAAAUAAUAACAAUAAUUUAAAAUCCGACUCCACUUGAAUCGUCCAUCCACGAGAACAGGACAAGAUCCGAUGAUACACAGCGGGUCCAAACUCUCCACCGACCUAACACCGUUCAAGCGCUUCACAAAUAGAAUAGAAGCUACAAGAAGGACCGCAGGCCACGAAAAGGAGGCAGCGAGUUUUCCAAGCUCCGGCACACCUGUUUAAACGAGGAGUAUACUGAUAGGG